GAUCCUUCAGGCUCCUUCACUCCAGUCUCCAGGAGCUACAAGAUGAAAGUGUUGGAUAACGGAACACUGGUGAUUAACGACGUUAAGGAGACAGAUUCAGGAACGUACCUGUGUCAGACUGAUAACGGAGUGGGGGAAAAGUUGGAGAAAGCUGUCUGUCCACGUGCCUCCAUCUAUUGAGAAAUAUAGCGAAAUUGUUACUGUGCAGCGUGGAUACACAAAGAGUGUACGAUGUAUUGUAAGAGGAGAGCGACCUCUGGUGGUUAGAUGGCUAAAAAACAAUCAUGUGUUGGAACCUUGGUCGAACCGCCACGAAACUUACAGUAAAGAAACUACAGUUGGGACUAACUCUACUCUCGUCAUCAGAAAUAUUCAAACUCAAGAUGCUGCCCUCUAUACGUGUUCUGUAGAGAACUCGUACGGAAAUGACAGCUGGAAUAUCAAGAUGAUUGUGAAUGAACCACCCCAGAGUCCUUCGAAUAUUGUUGUUGGAGACGUUCGUAGCAGGGUUGCUAAGGUCAGUUGGAGGUCAUCACCGACACGGUCAGCGGUCACACAGUUCAUUGUUCGCUUCUGGGAAUCAUCAAGUAAGAUUUGU